AAUUCUCAACCUCUCCAUCUUUUACUAGUUGGUUAGGCUUGGAUGUGGGGGUUGCGGGCUUCUUAAGAAGUCGGCUCUCCUUAAAUGUAUUAGCGGAACUUUUGUGGACCGUCUCUAGUGUGAUAAUUAUCUACGCUAUUGUAUGUGAAACAGCUUUUUUAAGUUCAGCUUCUAACAGUCCAUUAACUUGGACAACUUUUUGACU
rnacentral:misc_RNA from 1 species